GACGAACGCUGGCGGCGUGCCUAAUACAUGCAAGUCGAACGAGUGGCGGACGGGUGAGUCACACGUGUUAACCUACCCAUCAGAGGGGGAUAACACUUGGCAACCGGUGCUAAUACCGCAUACUGAUGGAUGGACCCUCGGUGCAUUAGCUAGUAGGGGGGGUAAAGGCUCACCUAGGCGACGAUCUCUAGCUGGGCUGAGAGGAUGAUCAGCCACACUGGGACUGAGACACGGCACAGACUCCUACGGGAGGCAGCAGUGGGGAAUAUGGCACAAUGGGAGCAAGCCUGAUGCAGCCAUGCAGCGUGUAUGAAGAAGGCCUUAGGGUUGUAAAGUACUUUCAGCGGGGAGGCGUUACCCGCAGAAGAAGCACCGGCUAACUCCGUGCCAGCAGCCGCGGUAAUAC
rnacentral:rRNA from 1 species